AAGAGUUUGAUCAUGGCUCAGAUUGAACGCUGGCGGUAAGCUUAACACAUGCAAGUCGAGCGGCAUCGAAAAAAAAUUUAUUUUUUUGUCGGCAAGCGGCGAACGGGUGAGUAAUAUCUGGGAAUCUACCUAAUGGUUUGGGAUAACUAUUGGAAACGAUAGCUAAUACCGAAUAAUAUUUUUAUUUUUAUUAAAUUUAUAAAAAUUAAAGUAGGGGAUAAUAUUAUUUUUUUUUAAAUAUAUUACCUUAUACCUUUAGAUGAGCCCAGAUGGGAUUAGCUAGUAGGUUUUGAGGUAACGGCUCACCUAGGCUACAAUCCCUAGCUGGUCUGAGAGGAUGAUCAGCCACACUGGAACUGAGACACGGUCCAGACUCCUACGGGAGGCAGCAGUGGGGAAUAUUGCACAAUGGGGGAAACCCUGAUGCAGCUAUACCGCGUGUGUGAAGAAGGCCUUAGGGUUGUAAAACACUUUCAGUGGAGAAAAAGAAAUAAAAUAUAAAUAAUAUUUAUUUUUGAUGUUAUCCACAAAAGAAGCACCGGCUAACUCUGUGCCAGCAGCCGCGGUAAUACAGAGGGUGCUAGCGUUAAUCGGAAUUACUGGGCGUAAAGAGUACGUAGGUGGUUUAUUAAGUCAGAUGUGAAAUCCCUAGGCUUAACUUAGGAACUGCAUUUGAAACUAGUAUUCUAGAGUAUCAUAGAGGGGGGUAGAAUUCCAGGUGUAGCGGUGAAAUGCGUAGAGAUCUGGAGGAAUAUCAGUGGCGAAGGCGGCCCCCUGGAUGAAUACUGACACUGAGGUACGAAAGCGUGGGGAGCAAACAGGAUUAGAUACCCUGGUAGUCCAUGCUGUAAACUAUGUCGAUUUGAAGGUUGUAAUCUUGAAUUAUGGCUUUCGAAGCUAACGCGUUAAAUCGACCGCCUGGGGAGUACGACCGCAAGGUUAAAACUCAAAUGAAUUGACGGGGGCCCGCACAAGCGGUGGAGCAUGUGGUUUAAUUCGAUGCAACGCGAAAAACCUUACCUACUCUUGACAUCCAGAGAACUUGGUAGAGAUACCUUGGUGCCUUAGGGAACUCUGAGACAGGUGCUGCAUGGCUGUCGUCAGCUCGUGUUGUGAAAUGUUGGGUUAAGUCCCGCAACGAGCGCAACCCUUUUCCUUUGUUGCCAGCGAUUAAGUCGGGAACUCAAAGGAUACUGCCGGUGAUAAACCGGAGGAAGGUGGGGACGACGUCAAGUCAUCAUGGCCCUUACGAGUAGGGCUACACACGUGCUACAAUGAUGUAUACAAAGAGAAACGAUCUUGCAAAAGUUAGUAAAACUCACAAAGUACAUCUUAGUUCGGAUUGGAGUCUGCAACUCGACUCCAUGAAGUCGGAAUCGCUAGUAAUCGUGGAUCAGCAUGCCACGGUGAAUACGUUCCCGGGCCUUGUACACACCGCCCGUCACACCAUGGGAGUGGGUUGCAAAAGAAGUAAGUAGUUUAACCUUUUUUAUAAGGAGGACGCUUACCACUUUGUGGUUCAUAACUGGG
rnacentral:rRNA from 1 species